rnacentral:rRNA from 1 species
AACGAACGCUGGCGGCAUGCCUAACACAUGCAAGUCGAACGAGACCUUCGGGUCUAGUGGCGCACGGGUGCGUAACGCGUGGGAACCUGCCCUUAGGUUCGGAAUAACUCCCCGAAAGGGGUGCUAAUACCGGAUAAUGUCUUCGGACCAAAGAUUUAUCGCCUUUGGAUGGGCCCGCGUUGGAUUAGCUAGUUGGUAGGGUAAAAGCCUACCAAGGCGACGAUCCAUAGCUGGUCUGAGAGGAUGAUCAGCCACACUGGGACUGAGACACGGCCCAGACUCCUACGGGAGGCAGCAGUGGGGAAUAUUGGACAAUGGGCGAAAGCCUGAUCCAGCAAUGCCGCGUGAGUGAUGAAGGCCUUAGGGUUGUAAAGCUCUUUUACCCGGCAUGAUAAUGACAGUACCGGGAGAAUAAGCUCCGGCUAACUCCGUG